UUAGCUCAGACGGUAAAGUGUCUGUCUGCAAUGCAGGAGACCCAGGUUCAAUCCCUGGA
rnacentral:tRNA from 1 species